rnacentral:misc_RNA from 1 species
AAUUCAACAUGGCUUUUGCUUGUAGCACAGCUUGUAGCUAGUAGCAGCAAGCGAGAGUAAUUUUGACGAGUUUUGUGUUAUAAUAAUAUUACCUGACAUCAGGGAUAAUUUAAGUUACAAUUUGAGUUUCAACCAAAGUUCUUAUCUUGUUUAAGCAUUUAUUACCUAAUUAUUACUCGACGAGUUUUGAUUCUGUGUAAUUAGACUUCAUUUUAUCGUUCUUGCUAGGCGCAGGUGAGGUGAUAAAAGUUAUCAGUUAUAAAUUAAAGAUGAAUUAAACAAUUGUUGCCGGGAAUUUCUUCAUCAAUGAACGGAUAAUUUUACUUUUGGUUUUAAGUCAAUAAUGAGGAGUACACAAUGAAGGAGAUGGUAGGAGGCUGCUGCGUGUGCUCAGACGAGCGCGGUUGGCCAGACAACCCGCUUGUCUACUGUGAUGGAAAUGGAUGCACGGUGGCUGUCCACCAAGCGUGUUAUGGAAUAGUUACAGUACCCACAGGACCGUGGUAUUGUCGAAAGUGUGAGAGUCCGGACACCAAGACUAAAGUUCGCUGUGAACUAUGUCCGUCUAAGUCUGGUGCACUGAAGAGGUCUGAUACAGGAGGAUGGGCUCACGUGGUGUGUGCCCUGUACAUACCAGAGGUCAGGUUCGGCAAUGUCACCUCCAUGGAACCUAUUGUGUUGCGACUCAUACCACCAGAGAGAUAUAAUAAGACAUGCUACAUCUGCCAAGAUGUGGGCAAGACGCAUCGCGCCACUGCUGGUGCAUGCAUGCAGUGCAACAAAUCUGGUUGCAAGCAACAAUUCCAUGUGACAUGUGCUCAAGGUCUAGGCCUUCUCUGCGAGGAAGCCGGGAACUACCUGGACAAUGUCAAGUACUGCGGAUAUUGCCAACAUCAUUACGGUAAACUGAAAAAGGGCGGUAAUGUAAAGACCAUCCCGCCGUACAAGCCGGUGUCGCACGACAGUCAGUCGAGCGACUCCAGCUGCGAGAAGGAGGGCGAAGCCUCCAGCUCGCCCAAGGCUAGCGGCGCCGCGACGCCCACGCACGCCGCCAAGUCGAAAGGGCCGGGUCGCAAGUCGUCUCACGCUACGAGCACCGUCGUGUCGGGCAAGAGUACUCCGAACUCGUCCAAGACUCCCAAUCCUAGUCAGCCUAUGGACAUGUCUCAAGACGCGACUGACUGUGGUCCCGUGACGCGCAAACAUAAGGCGUCGGACAAAAGUGGUAAACUGCACCACUCCUCGGACAAGAAGAAGCCGUCUCCGUCACGCCGUGGCUCCUCGGCCGACGGGGGCUCCGGGAGCAAAAGCAGCACCCCGGCGCCUUCGCCCCAGCAUACCACUGAGGCCUCCAAUACUCAGACUGGGAAAGCAUCUGGCAGUUCCACCCCGGCUGGUCCGUCAAAGGUGGCUCCGCCGUCAGCGUCUCCCAGCAAGCCGGCCGAGGCAGUGGGGGUGAUCAGCUCGGUGGCGCAGGCCGCUGCCUCUGUAUCCACCAUCACUACCAAUCCGACCAGUGCCCCAAUCACGGCCUCGGUGGUCCAAGUCCCGACUUCAAAGCCGACUUACCAAGAGUCUGUGAUCACUAACACAGAUCUGGUAGAAACCAAACAGACCAAGAAACGCAAGGCCAUUGCCGCGGCGAAUAAUAUGAAUGCGCCCGUAGAUUAUACUUCUAACACUCCUCCUUCUACGGCGGGUGAGGCGGGCACUCAGGGCGGCGUGUGGGAAGCCACCCACGUACAACCCGACGUGCCGCUGGAACCCAUUGACAAAAUUAUUAAAAAGGCAAAGACAGACUGUCUGGAAGCUAUACCGGUGCCGACUUCGCACUUCGCUAGCGUGAGCCCGGCAGCUCCGCCGCCGCCGCCUCCGCCGGCACACAGCCCGGCCUCCAAUCCUAGUCCUAGGCACCUUGCUAGCCCAAUGCCGGGCCCGAGCGGAAUCAAUCAAGUGUCCAAUAUUCGUUCUCCUUCAACGCCACAGGGCGGCAAGGAUCGCGAGGGACCGGCUUCGCUGCUGGUGUCGGUGCCGCUCCCCUCCACCAGCCACGGGCUCAACCUCACCGCGCACUCACAGGUAAAUGACAUGCCAGGACCAUCGCCGCAUAUUUUUCAUCAACCGCAAAAACAAGCUGCCAUGGAUACUGGCAUGACAGGGCAUUCACCGCAUGCACUCUCCGGGCGUUCCUGGGGUGGACUCAACGUUGCCUAUGAAAUGCAGCAAGAUCCUAACAAACCUGGUAUGAGUGGGAUGGCCGGGCCCAGCAAGCAGGAAAUGGGGCCGGUGGGCAUGGUGCCUAUGCCUCCUACCACAGUUAGGAACAAGAAACGUGCUGCAAUGGCUACCUCCGUCGUCGCCAUGGCUAAUACAGCUUCCGCUAUACAGACCAUGACGACUCAGAGCCUGGCCAGCGUGCGUCGUCAGCCGCAGCCGACGCCGCCGCCCAUAUAUUCGGAGACCACUCCUCCGAGUUCGCCUGGCUCUGAAAGACCAUUGAAGCCUAAGAUGGAUUCAAAACUGACUUCGUGCACAGCCCCACACAUGCUGGGCAACGAGCUGAACCCUGAAAGCGGGGCUGCGGCCUGUCUUCAGGAGCAGUUGACUGCCGAGUUGGCAGCCCAUGCCGCGGGUACUUCCGUCGGAGACGCUCUCGUACCGCCGCCGCUUAUUAAUAAGGCUGCUUCUGGUGGAAGCAUCAGCUCGGGUCGUUCCUCUAGCGCCCAAAGCCUCGACCAGCUGCUAGAACGCCAAUGGGAACAAGGCUCCCAAUUCCUCAUGGAACAGGCCCAGCAUUUCGACAUAGUGGAAUAGUGCUGUAACAUCCCUUGAGACUGAUCGCUGUGCACCACCUCAGAAUGGCCAUAUUUCUGUUAGUGGUGCAUCGAGUUACCACCCAUAUUUGAGACGCGAAGCAUUACUUACGGAGGC